rnacentral:snRNA from 1 species
AUCGCUUCUCAGCCUUUUGGCUAAGAUCAAGUGUAGCAUAUUUAUUUGAUUUGGGGAUUUUUUUAAGGUAAAAUAUUAUAUCUUUUUAAAAACAAACAAAAAAUCUCC